rnacentral:lncRNA from 1 species
GAAAGGAAGUCAUAUGUCAGAGGGCUCUGUGUACAUUUUCCUGAAGUACCAUGUCUGUGUAUAAAUGCAAUCUGUUAUUUUAUCCAAUUAUAACAUUUGCAUUUUAUACUUUUUUAUACUAUACCUUAAAAAUGAUCAAAUUUAAUAAAGAUAGUAAGAGACUUGGUUUUUUGCUUCCAACAGGUUGAAUUUCAUUCUUUCCAAAAGCUUAGAGAGCUACUAAUUACUGUCAAAAAAGAAAUAUUAUUUUCAAAGGCAACUGCCCAUUAGCCAGAGAAGAGGUGUUGAAUCAUCCCGAUGAAUCUGGCAAGGAAGCAUGGCAAAUCCCCAGCCCAGCUAUGCGUAGCUGGAGCAUUCAGUAGUGUUACAAGGACUCAGUCCUACCCUUCCAGUCAACCUAUGGGAACUUGGGGUCGAGCUUCUGACCACGUGUGAUGGAGGGCUAAAAGGCUUGCACUCAAAGAUGAUGAAGAAUCCCUUUAUUGGCUACUGAGCUGCAGGAGCUAAUGACUGUUCUUUUUAAGAGGUGACAGUUUCCAUAUGAGACCCAUUUGGCUGCAGUUCUCCCCCCAUGUCUCUCUGCUUUGAUGCUCUUCACCCUCUUCCCAUGAAGCAUGGACUCAG